AGAGUUUGAUCCUGGCUCAGGACGAACGCUGGCGGCGUGCUUAACACAUGCAAGUCGAACGGAAAGGCCCCUUCGGGGGUACUCGAGUGGCGAACGGGUGAGUAACACGUGGGUGAUCUGCCCUGCACUUUGGGAUAAGCCUGGGAAACUGGGUCUAAUACCGAAUAGGACCGCAUGCUUCAUGGUGUGUGGUGGAAAGCUUUUGCGGUGUGGGAUGGGCCCGCGGCCUAUCAGCUUGUUGGUGGGGUAAUGGCCUACCAAGGCGACGACGGGUAGCCGGCCUGAGAGGGUGUCCGGCCACACUGGGACUGAGAUACGGCCCAGACUCCUACGGGAGGCAGCAGUGGGGAAUAUUGCACAAUGGGCGCAAGCCUGAUGCAGCGACGCCGCGUGGGGGAUGACGGCCUUCGGGUUGUAAACCUCUUUCAGUAUCGGCGAAGCUCCAGGAUUUUUCUUGGGGUGACGGUAGGUACAGAAGAAGCACCGGCCAACUACGUGCCAGCAGCCGCGGUAAUACGUAGGGCGCGAGCGUUGUCCGGAAUUACUGGGCGUAAAGAGCUCGUAGGUGGUUUGUCACGUUGUCUGUGAAAACUCACAGCUUAACUGUGGGCGUGCGGGCGAUACGGGCAGACUGGAGUACUGUAGGGGAGACUGGAAUUCCUGGUGUAGCGGUGGAAUGCGCAGAUAUCAGGAGGAACACCGGUGGCGAAGGCGGGUCUCCGGGCAGUAACUGACGCUGAGGAGCGAAAGCGUGGGGAGCGAACAGGAUUAGAUACCCUGGUAGUCCAA
rnacentral:rRNA from 1 species